rnacentral:rRNA from 2 species
AGAACCUGCCUCUAGGACGGGGACAACAGUUGGAAACGACUGCUAAACCCGGAUGAGCCGAAAGGUAAAAGAUUAAUCGCCUAGAGAGGGGCUUGCGUCUGAUUAGCUAGUUGGUAAGGUAAAAGCUUACCAAGGCGACGAUCAGUAGCUGGUCUGAGAGGAUGAUCAGCCACACUGGGACUGAGACACGGCCCAGACUCCUACGGGAGGCAGCAGUGGGGAAUUUUCCGCAAUGGGCGCAAGCCUGACGGAGCAAGACCGCGUGGGGGAGGAAGGUUCUUGGAUUGUCAACCCCUUUUCUCAGGGAAGAAGCUCUGACGGUACCUGAGGAAAAAGCAUCGGCUAACUCCGUGCCAGCAGCCGCGGUAAUACGGGGGAUGCAAGCGUUAUCCGGAAUGAUUGGGCGUAAAGAGUCCGUAGGUAGCCCCUCAAGUCUGCUGUUAAAGAGCGAGGCUUAACUUCGUAAAGGCAGUGGAAACUGUGGAGCUAGAGUAUAGUAGGGGCAGAGGGAAUUCCUGGUGUAGCGGUGAAAUGCGUAGAGAUCAGGAAGAACACCGGUGGCGAAAGCGCUCUGCUGGGCUAAAACUGACACUGAGGGACGAAAGCUAGGGGAGCG